rfam:Pan troglodytes isolate Yerkes chimp pedigree #C0471 (Clint) chromosome 16, whole genome shotgun sequence.
GCUAGGUGUGGUGGUGCAUGCCUGUAAUCCCAGCUACUCGGGAGGCUGAGGCAGGAGAAUCGCUUGAACCCGGGAGGUGGAGGUUGCAUUGAGCUGAGAUCGGGCCACUGCACUCCAGCCUGGGUGACAGAGUGAGACCCUGUCUCAA